rnacentral:rRNA from 1 species
AUUAAUUUAAGAGAUUAUUAAAAAUUUAUAUUGGUUGUUACCUUUUGCAUCAUGAUAUAAUGAUUAAAAUUUUAUAUAAAAAUAUACGAAGUCAUUAGAUUUAAAUUUUAUAGUUUUAUUGGGUCAAUAAAUAAAAUAUAAUUUGGAAGUGAUAAAUUAAUCGUUAAUGAAGAUAACUUGUAAAUAAGAUAAAAUUUUAUUAAUUGAUUAGGUUAAAAGAUCUAAUCAAUAUUUAUAAAUUAAAUUUGGUUUAAAUAAUAUGAGUUUAAAAGUAACUUUUAUCAUUAUGUUUUAAAACUAAAAUUUAUUAAAAAAAAUUUUUUAUAAUUCUUAUUUUUAUUAAUUAUUUAUUAAAUUGUUAUGUUAUAAUAAGUAGUUAAAUAGUUUUUAGGUUUCUCGGUUUAAUUCGAAUUGUUUAUUAAAAACAUUGUCACCAAUAUAUUUUGGUGGUAGUACCUGCUCAGUGUUAGUAAAUAGCUGCAGUAUCUUGACUGUACUAAGGUAGCAUAAUUGCUUGUCUCCUAAAUAGAGAAUUGUUUGAAUGGUUUUUUUGAUUUAAAAACUACUUAAAAAUUAAAACGAAAUUAGAAUUUAAGUAAAGAUCCUUAAAAUCUUUUAAAAGACGGAAAGACCCUAAGAGCUUAAAAAAUAAAUUUAUUUGGGGCAAAGCUUUAAUUUUAUAAAGAUUUAGAACCUUUUAGUUUAGUGGAAAAGUUACCUUAGGGAUAACAGGGUUAAAAAUAAGGAGAGAUCAUAUCGAUUUAUUUAGUUGCUACCUCGAUGUUGACUUAGAAGAGCUAUAAGACGCAGUAGUUUUAAAAGUAGGCCUGUUCGGCCUUUAAAUUUCUUCAUGAGUUGAGUUAAGACCGGUGUAAACCAGGUCGGUUCUUAUCUUUAAGUGUUAUAAUUUAGUACGAAAGGAUUGAUUAUGAUUUAAGUU